rnacentral:rRNA from 1 species
GACGAACGCUGGCGGCGUGCUUAACACAUGCAAGUCGAACGGAAAGGCCCUGCUUUUGUGGGGUGCUCGAGUGGCGAACGGGUGAGUAACACGUGAGUAACCUGCCCUUGACUUUGGGAUAACUUCAGGAAACUGGGGCUAAUACCGGAUAGGAGCUCCUGCUGCAUGGUGGGGGUUGGAAAGUUUCGGCGGUUGGGGAUGGACUCGCGGUUUAUCAGCUUGUUGGUGGGGUAGUGGCUUACCAAGGCUUUGACGGGUAGCCGGCCUGAGAGGGUGACCGGCCACAUUGGGACUGAGAUACGGCCCAGACUCCUACGGGAGGCAGCAGUGGGGAAUAUUGCACAAUGGGCGGAAGCCUGAUGCAGCAACGCCGCGUGCGGGAUGACGGCCUUCGGGUUGUAAACCGCUUUCGCCUGUGACGAAGCGUGAGUGACGGUAAUGGGUAAAGAAGCAUCGGCUAACUACGUG